rnacentral:rRNA from 1 species
AACGCGAAGAACCUUACCAAGGUUUGACAUACACCGGAAAGCGCCAGAGAUUGGUGCCCCCUUGUGGUCGGUGUCAGGUGGUGCAUUGGCUGUCGUCAGCUCGUGUCGUGAGAUGUUGGGUUAAGUCCCGCAACGAGCGCAACCCCUGUCCCGUGUUGCCAGCAGGCCCUUGUGGUGCUGGGGACUCACGGGAGACCGCCGGGGUCAACUCGGAGGAAGGUGGGGACGACGUCAAGUCAUCAUGCCCCUUAUGUCUUGGGCUGCACACGUGCUACAAUGGUCGGUACAAUGAGCUGCGAUACCGCAAGGUGGAGCGAAUCUCAAAAAGCCGGUCUCAGUUCGGAUUGGGGUCUGCAACUCGACCCCAUGAAGUCGGAGUUGCUAGUAAUCGCAGAUCAGCAUUGCUGCGGUGAAUACGUUCCCGGGCCUUGUACAACACCG